AGUUUGAUCCUGGCUCAGAUUGAACGCUGGCGGCAGGCCUAACACAUGCAAGUCGAGCGGUAGCACAGAGAGCUUGCUCUCGGGUGACGAGCGGCGGACGGGUGAGUAAUGUCUGGGAAACUGCCUGAUGGAGGGGGAUAACUACUGGAAACGGUAGCUAAUACCGCAUAACGUCGCAAAACCAAAGGGGGGCCCUUUGGCCCUCACCCCUCAGGGUGCCCCAGGUGGGUUUAGGUAGGAGGGGGGAAACCGCUCCCCUGGGGGGCACACUCCUUGUUGUGUUGGAGAGAUCCCCCCCCCCCCUGGGAAUUGAGCCCCGGUCCAAAUCUCUUGGGGGAGCAGCGGGGGGAAUUUUCCACAAUGGGCGCAACCUUGAUCCACCCAUCCCGCGUGUGUGAAGAAGCCCUUCGGGUUGUAAACCACUUUCAGCGGGGAGGAAGGCGAUAAGGUUAAUAACCUUGUCGAUUGACGUUACCCGCAGAAGAAGCACCGGCUAACUCCGUGCCAGCAGCCGCGGUAAUACGGAGGGUGCAAGCGUUAAUCGGAAUUACUGGGCGUAAAGCGCACGCAGGCGGUCUGUCAAGUCGGAUGUGAAAUCCCCGGGCUUAACCUGGGAACUGCAUUCGAAACUGGCAGGCUAGAGUCUUGUAGAGGGGGGUAGAAUUCCAGGUGUAGCGGUGAAAUGCGUAGAGAUCUGGAGGAAUACCGGUGGCGAAGGCGGCCCCCUGGACAAAGACUGACGCUCAGGUGCGAAAGCGUGGGGAGCAAACAGGAUUAGAUACCCUGGUAGUCCACGCCGUAAACGAUGUCGAUUUGGAGGUUGUGCCCUUGAGGCGUGGCUUCCGGAGCUAACGCGUUAAAUCGACCGCCUGGGGAGUACGGCCGCAAGGUUAAAACUCAAAUGAAUUGACGGGGGCCCGCACAAGCGGUGGAGCAUGUGGUUUAAUUCGAUGCAACGCGAAGAACCUUACCUGGUCUUGACAUCCACAGAACUUUCCAGAGAUGGAUUGGUGCCUUCGGGAACUGUGAGACAGGUGCUGCAUGGCUGUCGUCAGCUCGUGUUGUGAAAUGUUGGGUUAAGUCCCGCAACGAGCGCAACCCUUAUCCUUUGUUGCCAGCGGUUAGGCCGGGAACUCAAAGGAGACUGCCAGUGAUAAACUGGAGGAAGGUGGGGAUGACGUCAAGUCAUCAUGGCCCUUACGACCAGGGCUACACACGUGCUACAAUGGCAUAUACAAAGAGAAGCGACCUCGCGAGAGCAAGCGGACCUCAUAAAGUAUGUCGUAGUCCGGAUUGGAGUCUGCAACUCGACUCCAUGAAGUCGGAAUCGCUAGUAAUCGUAGAUCAGAAUGCUACGGUGAAUACGUUCCCGGGCCUUGCACACACCGCCCGUC
rnacentral:rRNA from 1 species